CUACAAAGGGGGUGUUGUGCUGGGAUGUUACUUCGGGCCUGCUGCACUCUACAUCUGGGCAGUGGGGAUCCUGGCUGCAGGACAGAGCUCCACCAUGACAGGAACCUAUUCUGGCCAGUUUGUCAUGGAGGGAUUCCUGAACCUCAAGUGGUCACGUUUUGCCCGGGUGAUUCUGACACGCUCUAUUGCCAUCAUCCCCACUCUGCUUGUUGCUGUCUUCCAAGAUGUGGAGCAUUUAACAGGGAUGAAUGACUUCCUGAAUGUUCUGCAGAGC